GUCAAUUCAAAACCCCUGAGGAAAAGCAAAACAGAUAAUGCUCAUGAAGCUUAAUAAAAGCCUAGUCCUCUCUCUCCUACUUCUCUCCUGCUGGUUGAGAACGCUUGCUAUCUCUGCGCUUCCUGUUGGCUGUUGUGAACAUCCUUUUUUCUUGUGGAUUUUGACAAUCCUUUGAAGUCAUGAAUAUACAAGAGCAUGAAUAAGAGAAGAAAAGAUGGAAGAUAAAAAGCAGAAGGAUGCAGAGCAUAUCAAUAGCUGGGACCUGAAUUAGCACCAUAUGGAGCAGAGUUCUCUUCCAGCUAACCAAGGGCACUUCAUCACCAAAGCAACAAGAUGUGGAGCAUGAGCAGUUCAACCUUUGAAGAUAACUCAGACUAAUUUGGCCAGCCUCUCCGUCUGAGGGUCUGAGAUCAUAAGAAGGUUUUAUAUUGGGCUGUGCACUUCAACCUACAGGCCAGUAGAUGAAGCUUGUGAGUAAGAGCUAGCUGUGACACUAGCAGAUGGGUCCAACAAAACAAAAAAUCCAAGAAGACAUAACCAGAAACGGAAGAAAACAAAAUGUUGGUUGAAAAGAAAACUUCCUAGCAGGACAGUCUAUCCAAACCAUGAUUCUUUCCAAGAAGGUGAUUCAGCCAGCCUCCCCAGAAGCAAAUGAACCCAGGUUUGCACAGAGGAAUAGGAAGUACACCAUGGUGAACAGUCUGCUCCUCUAAGUCGCUAGGUGUGCCCUGGCUGCACCAGUGAAGGCUUUCCAUCUUGAUUCUCUGUGAUUUUAGGACAAAUUGCUUUUGGGGUUCCUGACCCCUGCUGGAAUUUGCAAAGUUGUUAGAGGGUGACUAAAUUAGUGGAAAAGAGAGAAGUGAGGAGGCU
rnacentral:lncRNA from 10 species